GUAGGUGGCAAGCGUUGUCCGGAAUUACUGGGCGUAAAGCGCGCGCAGGCGGUUCUUUAAGUCUGAUGUGAAAGCCCACGGGCUCAACCGUGGAGGGUCAUUGGAAACUGGAGAACUUGAGUACAGAAGAGGAAAGCGGGAUUCCACGUGUAGCGGUGAAAUGCGUAGAGAUGUGGAGGAACACCAGUGGCGAAGGCGGCUUUCUGGUCUGUAACUGACGCUGAGGCGCGAAAGCGUGGGGAGCAAACAGGAUUAGAUACCCUGGUAGUCCACGCCGUAAACGAUGAGUGCUAAGUGUUAGGGGGUUUCCGCCCCUUAGUGCUGCAGCUAACGCAUUAAGCACUCCGCCUGGGGAGUACGGCCGCAAGGCUG
rnacentral:rRNA from 1 species